AUUAGCGAACUGUCCCAAAAUCCCAUCCCAAGCCUUGCUGCUCGGAGCCGUACCACGCGCUGACUAGCGCACAGGAAAAUUGGCGCAACGAGCCGCACGGUGGUGUCCGCCGGCCAUCGGGCUUCCUCCAUGGACGCACCCAGGAACUGCACUGGACGCACGAUUUUAGGGCAGCUGCAACUGGCGCCGCGCUUCACUUCGUUGUUGCGAAUCUCGAGCAGCGACUGUGGCAGGAGCUCGCCGCCGCGGGCGACGUGUGGCGAGCCUGGCGGGUGCUCAGGGCUUGGUGUGUUCGCUCGCACGGCGUCACUGACCCUCCAAUGCCAAGCAUGACGUCGUUGGGGGCACGCGCAGCAAUUUCAGGUUGUGGUGCAAAGUGCAAGCGGAUGUGAAGAUUGAAAAGUUGACAUAGUCUACUUAGAGUACUUACGAAGAAAGGAAACAACCGCUGUUGCAAUGCCUAGGUAGACAAAGUUCAGAACUGCCUGUGAAAAAAGCAAAGGUAGGUAGAAACAAAGUGAGAAUUGAGAGAUGCAAUAAUGUCUCGCUAACAAGUUGAAGUAAACUUCAAGCUACAUGUAAUUCAUGGAGAACAGUGAUAAAAGUUUGACCACCUUUUUAUGAUUUUGUUCAUGAUUCGGAUAGAAAUCUGUCAGCAAAAAUACACUACUGCAACGACAAACUUGACAGCUUAUUCUUGGACUGAGUUUCGGAUCUUUGAUCAAGAAAAGAUUCCAGCCUUUACCAGAUUUGGUUAGUUAUCCAUUAUAUUAAAAUUGUUC